rnacentral:rRNA from 1 species
UCCACAUGUUUAAAGGUAUUCGGUAGACGAUGGGGAUGCGUUCCAUUAGAUAGUAGGCGGGGUAACGGCCCACCUAGUCUUCGAUGGAUAGGGGUUCUGAGAGGAAGGUCCCCCACAUUGGAACUGAGACACGAUCCAACCUUUACGGGAGGCAGCAGUGAGGAAUAUUGGUCAAUGGGCGAGAGCCUGAACCAGCCAAGUAGCGUGAAGGAUGACUGCCUAUGGGUUGUAAACUUCUUUUAUAAAGGAAUAAGUCGGGUAUGGAUACCCGUUUGCAUGUACUUUAUGAAUAAGGAUCGGCUAACUCCGUGCCAGCAGCCGCGGUAAUACGGAGGAUCCGAGCGUUAUCCGGAUUUAUUGGGUUUAAAGGGAGCGUAGAUGGAUGUUUAAGUCAGUUGUGAAAGUUUGCGGCUCAACCGUAAAAUUGCAGUUGAUACUGGAUAUCUUGAGUGCAGUUGAGGCAGGCGGAAUUCGUGGUGUAGCGGUGAAAUGCUUAGAUAUCACGAAGAACUCCGAUUGCGAAGGCAGCCUGCUAAGCUGCAACUGACAUUGAGGCUCGAAAGUGUGGGUA